AUGGAUUCAAUGUAUAUUUAUGUAAUGAAUGAAAAAGAUUCGAAGGAGAAGAGCUUGAAAGAUCAAAUCCUGUGCAGGCAGAAUCACAAGCUGAGUUCUCCCAAUGGCUAUGUCAUGUGCAUAACAUUGUAAACAGAAGUUUAGGAAAACAAAUAUUUCCAUGCCAACGAGUAAAUGCAAGGUGGGGAAAACUGGAUUGUCUUGAUCGUUCUUGUGAUCUUGAAGGCAGCAACAACUUGAGUUUUCCUCUGUAAAGCGCAAUUAUGCCUCAGAAUCAUUUAUUGAGCAAGAAAGAAACAGAAAGAAAAGAAUGUGUGUGAUUGAGACCUUUCAAUCUUUUGAG